CGAUUGUAGUCAUAUGCUUGUCUCAAAGAUUAAGCCAUGCAUGUCUAAGUAUAAGCAAUUAUACAGCGAAACUGCGAAUGGCUCAUUAAAUCAGUUAUCGUUUAUUUGAUAGUACCUUACUACAUGGAUAACCGUGGUAAUUCUAGAGCUAAUACAUGCUAAAAACCCCAACUUCGGAAGGGGUGUAUUUAUUAGAUUAAAAACCAAUGCCCUUCGGGGCUCCCUGGUGAUUCAUAAUAACUUCUCGAAUCGCACGGCCUUGCGCCGGCGAUGGUUCAUUCAAAUUUCUGCCCUAUCAACUUUCGACGGCAGGGUCUUGGCCUGCCAUGGUGACAACGGGUAACGGAGGGUUAGGGCUCGACCCCGGAGAAGGAGCCUGAGAAACGGCUACUACAUCCAAGGAAGGCAGCAGGCGCGCAAAUUACCCAAUCCCGACUCGGGGAGGUAGUGACAAUAAAUACUGAUACAGGGCUCUUUUGGGUCUUGUAAUUGGAAUGAGUACAAUUUAAAUCCCUUAACGAGGAACAAUUGGAGGGCAAGUCUGGA
rnacentral:rRNA from 1 species